rnacentral:rRNA from 1 species
ACGCUCGACACCUACUGGAGGCAGCAGUGGGGGAUAUUGCACAAUGGGGGAAACCCUGAUGCAGCAACGCCGCGUGAAGGAAGACGGUUUUCGGAUUGUAAACUUCUGUUCUUAGUGACGAUAAUGACGGUAGCUAAGGAGAAAGCUCCGGCUAACUACGUGCCANCAGCCGCGGUAAUCUGAGGCGGGCUGGCGAAGGC